rnacentral:rRNA from 1 species
GACGAACCGUGCGAACGUUGUUCGGAUUCACUGGGCUUAAAGGGCGCGUAGGCGGCUUGCCAAGUCAGGGGGUGAAAUCUUUCGGCUCAACCGGAAAAAGUGCUUCUGAUACUGGCGGGCUGGAGGAGGGUAGGGGCGGAUGGAACUUCCGGUGGAGCGGUGAAAUGCGUAGAGAUCGGAAAGAACACCAACGGCGAAAGCACUCUGCUGGGCCGACACUGACACUGAGAGACGAAAGCUAGGGGAGCGAAUGGG